UUGCCUACGGGGGGCAGCAGUGGGGAAUAUUGCACAAUGGGGGAAACCCUGAUGCAGCGACGCCGCGUGAGUGAAGAAGUAUUUCGGUAUGUAAAGCUCUAUCAGCAGGGAAGAAAAUGACGGUACCUGACUAAGAAGCCCCGGCUAACUACGUGCCAGCAGCCGCGGUAAUACGUAGGGGGCAAGCGUUAUCCGGAUUUACUGGUUGUAAAGGGAGCGUAGACGGCCAGACAAGUCAGAAGUGAAAGCCCAGGGCUCAACC
rnacentral:rRNA from 1 species